AGCGGCGGACGGGUGAGUAACGCGUGGGUAACCGUGCCUCAUACAGGGGGAUAACAGUUGGAAACGGCUGCUAAUACCGCAUAAGCGCACAGUACCGCAUGGUACCGUGUGAAAAACUCCGGUGGUAUGAGAUGGACCCGCGUCUGAUUAGCUAGUUGGUGGGGUAACGGCCUACCAAGGCGACGAUCAGUAGCCGACCUGAGAGGGUGACCGGCUACAUUGGGACUGAGACACGGCCCAA
rnacentral:rRNA from 1 species